AGCUGGGACUGCAUAAGCUGAGCUUCGGGAAACCCUCCGGUGCCUGACAAUGAACCGGAGCAAAGAGAAGCCCAGAGGCCGAGAAACUGAGUCCGACACCAGUGUCUGUGGACUGGACUCAGCCACAUGGGAAGGCGGAUACUUGGACUCUCCAGCCAAAGGUCACCUGAAGGUCCCCUCUGGCCUCAUAUCUGUCACCAGAUGAGGUUUGAAUCUCUCGGGGCUGAAGACAACGGUGAAUGCCACAGAUAAAACAGGAGACAGGCCACAGACAGGGUCUUGUUAUGGAGCUGAAGCUGGCCUCGAACUUGUGAUCCUCCUGCUUCAGCCUCCUGAGCAGCCAGGAUUAUAGGAGCAUGCCUGUGAGUUGGUAGUUGGUAACAUUAUGGAUGUACUGAACGUCACCUAACCUGUUGGUUUUUGUUAUGUUCAUUUUCACAUCCGUUUUUUGUUGUUGUUGUUGUUGUUUUGGUACCGGGGAUUGAACUCGGGUCCUUGCGCUUUCGAGGC
ensembl:lncRNA